rnacentral:rRNA from 1 species
GAUGAACGCUGGCGGCGUGCUUAACACAUGCAAGUCGAACGAAGCACUUUUGAUUCUUCGGAAGAGGAAGUGACUGAGUGGCGGACGGGUGAGUAACGCGUGGGUAAACUGCCUUAUACAGGGGGAUAACAGUUAGAAAUGACUGCUAAUACCGCAUAAGCCGAUAGAGUCGGAUGACUUAGUCGGAAAAGAUUUAUCGGUAUAAGAUGGACCCGCGUCUGAUUAGCUAGUUGGUGAGGUAAUGGCCAACCAAGGCGACGAUCAGUAGCCGGCUUGAGAGAGUGAACGGCCACAUUGGGACUGAGACACGGCCCAAACUCCUACGGGAAGCAGCAGUGGGGAAUAUUGCACAAUGGGGGAAGCCCUGAUGCAGCAACGCCGCGUGAAGGAAGAAGUAUUUCGGUAUGUAAACUUCUAUCAGCAGGGAAGAAAAUGACGGUACCUGACUAAGAAGCCCCGGCUAACUACGUGCCAGCAGCCGCCGUAACAC